rnacentral:lncRNA from 8 species
CCACACUAUGCUAGCACUGAGGAAGUGGACGAGUGCCAUAGCAACCCUUGCUUUGAGCCCCAUACAAAGUGCAUCGACCAAGUCAACGGCUACUUCUGUCGAUAUCCGCCCAGCUACGGAGGAGAGGACUGCCAAGAGCAAGUGACUGACUGCAUUGACGAGCCGUGUCUGAACAAUGGGACUUGGAUUCGAGUGCCACUGUGCGCUGGGGUUUGAAGGCGAUCCUUGUGAAGAGGACGUGGACGAGUGUGCAUCGCACCCUUGCCAGAAUGGGGCUAUCUGCAUGGAUGGCUUGGCUCAGUUUCCAGCGCUACAACUGCGAGAUUGAUAUCAAUGAGUGUGCCUCAUGGCCCUGCGAGAAUAACGGAACCUGCAUCAAUAAGAAGGACCAAUACGAAUGCGAGUGCCUCGCAGGUUUCACAGCUAUGAGUGUGACUGCGAGGACACAGGCUUCAUGGGAGACCACUGUGAGGAGGACAUCCCUGAGUGUGCGUCUGACCCGUGUCAGCACGGCGCCACCUGCCAGGAGGGAGUCAAAGAGUACACCUACCUCUGCUGGCCUGGUUUGUGCAACUUACCACAUUUGAAAAAAUAUUGGGGUCAAAAAUGGUUAAAAAAAUAGAAAGAAAAAAAGAGUUCAUUUGAGUAUAAUAUGUACAGCUGUAAAUGUUGUCAGAUGAUUGGAGAGUAAAGGAGGGUGGUAUUAUAAUGGGUUUACAGCAACAACGACUGUGCAGUUUGUUUAGGCUUUGAGUGAACAGUAUUACAUUGUAUUUACAUUUUAUUGGGACUCCUAGGUUACAAAGUGUAACGGCUGUCGUAGAGCGGGGACCAAAGUGCAGCGUGUUGAUUGCUCAUAAUGAAUAUUUAUUUUAACUCAGAACAAUAAAGACAAAAUAACAAACCAACGGCCAACAGUUCUGUCAGGUAACAGAUAACUAAACAGAAAAUAACUACCCACACACACAAGUGGAAAAAAACCCUACUUAAGAAUGAUCUCCAAUAAGAGACAACGAGGACCAGCUGCCUCUAAUUGGAGAUCAUCCCAAAAAAAAAACAUAGAAAAUAAGAUCUUACUAUGGUCAGGACGUGACACAAAGGGGAGAACUGUGAGAUUGACAUUGAUGAGUGUGCUCUGCAGCAAUGCGAGAAUGACAGUGAGUGUUUCGAGAGUUCCGACAUAUCCCACUGGGAGAUGGACUGGGCGUUCAGCUUCGCUGAUGCUACCGAAUACCUGUUUCACAGGAGAGAACUGUUCUGUGUACAUUGAGUGUGUGUCUGAGCCCUGCCAGAAUGGAGGCUCUUGUGAGGACCAAGUGAAUGACUACACCUGUUUGUGUCCAGAAGGAUUUAUGGGCGGAGCAUUGCCAGAACAGAGGAGAGUGUACUACUACAUGGAAUUACUUUGUGUGUUGGUGUCCUGUUGCUUUCACCGGGAAGACCUGCGAGACAUGUGUGUGGUGUGUCAAAGACCAAUGGUGGCCAUUGUGUGGACCUGGCUGACGGAUAUGAGUGUGAGUAAAUAUUAA